GUGGGGAAUAUUGGACAAUGGGGGGAACCCUGAUCCAGCCAUGCCGCGUGUGUGAAGAAGGCCUUUUGGUUGUAAAGCACUUUAAGCGAGGAGGAGGCUACCGAGAUUAAUACUCUUGGAUAGUUGACGUUACUCGCAGAAUAAGCACCGGCUAACUCUGUGCCAGCAGCCGCGGUAAUACAGAGGGUGCAAGCGCUAAUCGGAUUUACUGGGCGUACAGCGCGCGUAGGUGGCCAAUUAAGUCAAAUGUGAAAUCCCCGAGCUUAACUUGGGAAUUGCAUUCGAUACUGGUUGGCUAGAGUAUGGGAGAGGAUGGUAGAAUUCCAGGUGUAGCGGUGAAAUGCGUAGAGAUCUGGAGGAAUACCGAUGGCGAAGGCAGCCAUCUGGCCUAAUACUGACACUGAGGUGCGAAAGCAUGGGGAGCAAACAGGAUUAGAAACCCGUGUAGUCC
rnacentral:rRNA from 1 species